CUUUCAUUUCUCCCCCAAUUUCAGACUUUCUUCUUCUCCUUCCCCAUUUCAUCUGUGCGUCCCCUUCUUCCUCCUUUUCAUUUUUUCCUCAACUCCUUCCCCGUUUGCUUUGGAUCACCAGUUUGAAGAUCAACAUUCUGAAGAACUCCAAUUCGAGGAGGAAGAGCUUGAAGAGCAAGGACACUGGAAAUCGCAGAUCCAUAAUUUUUUAAAGGUAUAAAACCUGAGUUUAAUCUAUAGAGAUUAGAGCCUUAAUGUUGAAGUAGUAAAGUAUUGGAGCACUGAUCUGAUGGCAAGCAUGGCAGCAUGGAGUUGCUAGUAUUAUAUAUGGCACUAUGGAGCUACAAAAUAUGUGGUCUUCGACAAAGGCAAGCACAGGAAAGCAUGGAGGAUGAAUUUUUGUAAAUUAUAUGGAAUGUUAGAUGUAAAACAUUUGUAUAUUAUGGCACUAUUUUUCUUUUGAA